GUGCUUGUUUCAAUAGCACAUAUACUAACAUCAGAAUGAUACAGAGAAGAUUAGCAUGGCCCCUGGGCAAGGAUGACACAAAAAUUCUAAAAAAAUAAAAUAAAAAG
rnacentral:snRNA from 1 species